rnacentral:tRNA from 1 species
GGUGUAUGUAGCUUAAUUUGGUAGAGCUUCAGAUUGUGGGUCUGAAAGGUGCUGGUUCAAAUCCAGUCUUACACCC